UUAACACAUGCAAGUCGAACGGUAAGGCCCUUCGGGGUACACGAGUGGCGAACGGGUGAGUAACACGUGGGUGAUCUGCCCUGCACUUUGGGAUAAGCCUGGGAAACUGGGUCUAAUACCGAAUACACCCUGCUGGUCGCAUGGCCUGGUGGGGGAAAGCUUUUGCGGUGUGGGAUGGGCCCGCGGCCUAUCAGCUUGUUGGUGGGGUGAUGGCCUACCAAGGCGACGACGGGUAGCCGGCCUGAGAGGGCGUCCGGCCACACUGGGACUGAGAUACGGCCCAGACUCC
rnacentral:rRNA from 1 species